GGUGGGAAGUCGUACUUUUAUAACUUCAGUGUGCUGCAGUGUUUACGCUUAAAAUGAGGUCUUCUCGUGAACGCACCUGCAUGUGCUGGUUUUUGGGUGGGAGGUGCGACCAGAUGAGAAAGUCACUCUACAGCCUGGAUAAGACGAGUCAGAAGAAGACCUGAGGCAAAGACAAACAUCAUAAAUCAGCAGAGCAACAGCACCAUCUAGCGGUCAGACCGGGUCACUCCCACAACCAGGAUCCGCUCCAGUGAUCCGGUCCGGUGUUUGGC